ensembl:lncRNA
CUACAAUCAGCUAACACAGGCACAGUUUCGUGGAGAUCCCUCUGUUGCAAUAAUUCGGACUUUCAAAACACGGUCACUGAAGAGAGUCAUCCACAAUCUGUUUGGCAAUAAAAAUAACAUUGACAGAAGAAAUCACCGUCGUAGUUCCCCUUCGGAAACCAUUUGUCUGCUUUUCAAUGAUCAGCGAGGCCCUUCUGAACAGCAGCGUCCCAGGAUUGCACAGUUGUCACAUAGAACAAGAUCAGCGUUCAACACCAUAUUGCCCUCAUAGCUCAUCAGUAAGCUAAGGACCCUGGGACUAAGCACCUCUCUCUGCAAC